rnacentral:rRNA from 1 species
AGGACNNUAGGNCGGACUNUNUAAAAAGAAGAGGUGCAGAACGGGUGAGUAACACGUGGGUAACCUGCCCAUCAGAAGGGGAUAACACUUGAGAAACAGGUGCUAAUACCGUAUAACAACUCGAAACCGCAUGGUUUUGAUUUGAAAGGCGCUUUCGGGUGUCGCUGAUGGAUGGACCCGCGGUGCAUUAGCUAGUUGGUGAGGUAACGGCUCACCAAGGCCACGAUGCAUAGCCGACCUGAGAGGGUGAUCAGGCCCACUUCCCGNACUCGAGACACGGCCCAAACUCCUACGGGAGGACAGGCAGUAGGGAAUCUUCGGCAAUGGACGAAAUUCUGACCGACCACCUGCCGNCUGUGAUAUGAAAAAAUGGUUUUCCGGAUCCGUACAUACACCUCUGUUGUUAUGAGAAGAACAAGGAUGAUAUGUACACCUUGUUCAUCCCUUGACUGGUUCUCUACAUCCACUAAAGCCAACUUGCUACACUCACUGCCUC